rnacentral:rRNA from 1 species
GAUGAACGCUGGCGGCGUGCUUAACACAUGCAAGUCGAACGGUGAAGCCAAGCUUGCUUGGUGGAUCAGUGGCGAACGGGUGAGUAACACGUGAGCAACCUGCCCUGGACUCUGGGAUAAGCGCUGGAAACGGCGUCUAAUACUGGAUAUGAGCCUCUAUCGCAUGGUGGGGGUUGGAAAGAUUUUUUGGUCUGGGAUGGGCUCGCGGCCUAUCAGCUUGUUGGUGAGGUAAUGGCUCACCAAGGCGUCGACGGGUAGCCGGCCUGAGAGGGUGACCGGCCACACUGGGACUGAGACACGGCCCAGACUCCUACGGGAGGCAGCAGUGGGGAAUAUUGCACAAUGGGCGAAAGCCUGAUGCAGCAACGCCGCGUGAGGGAUGACGGCCUUCGGGUUGUAAACCUCUUUUAGCAGGGAAGAAGCGAAAGUGACGGUACCUGCAGAAAAAGCGCCGGCUAACUACGUGCCAGCAGCCGCAGUAA